CCAAGCUCACCACUUGCCUCAUUAAUUCAUCCUUGUGCAAUACUCAUGAUUUGCCUUUUCAAGCACCCAAUGAAAUGCUUCUACUCUAUGAACCCAUCACCUCUUUAAGUUCAGUUUUUAACAUAAAAAAAAAUCUUCAACAUUUUAAGUCUUCUGAUCGAAGCUUUAUUGCAGACAAAAAAAGAAAAAAGAAAAGGGGCCC
rnacentral:lncRNA from 1 species